CCUACGGGAGGCAGCAGUGAGGAAUAUUGGUCAAUGGCCGGAAGGCUGAACCAGCCAUGCCGCGUGAAGGGCAGGGUCCUACGGGCGUUAAACUUCUUUUGUGCGGGAGCAAUAAUGGUCACGUGGGGCCAGACGAGAGUACCGUACGAAUAAGCAGCGGCUAACUCCGUGACAGCAGCCGCGGUAAUACGGGGGAGGCAAGCGUUAUCCGGAUUUAUGGGGUUUAAAGGGGGCGUAGGCUGUGAGGUAAGUCAGCGGGGAAAUGCCCCCGCUCAACGGGGUGAAGUGCCAUUGAUACUGCCUUGCUGGAGUGCGGGUGCCGUGGGAGGAAUGUGUGGUGUAGCGGUGAAAUGCAUAGAUAUCACGCAGAACACCGAUUGCGAAGGCAUCUCACGAAUCCGCGAUUGACGCUGAUGCACGAAAGCGUGGGUAUCAAACAGGAUUAGAUACCCCUGUAGUC
rnacentral:rRNA from 1 species